rnacentral:rRNA from 1 species
CGGCCCAGACUCCUACGGGAGGCAGCAGUGGGGAAUAUUGGACAAUGGGCGAAAGCCUGAUCCAGCAAUGCCGCGUGAGUGAUGAAGGCCUUAGGGUUGUAAAGCUCUUUUACCCGGGAUGAUAAUGACAGUACCGGGAGAAUAAGCUCCGGCUAACUCCGUGCCAGCAGCCGCGGUAAUACGGAGGGAGCUAGCGUUAUUCGGAAUUACUGGGCGUAAAGCGCACGUAGGCGGCUUUGUAAGUUAGAGGUGAAAGCCUGGAGCUCAACUCCAGAAUUGCCUUUAAGACUGCAUCGCUUGAAUCCAGGAGAGGUGAGUGGAAUUCCGAGUGUAGAGGUGAAAUUCGUAGAUAUUCGGAAGAACACCAGUGGCGAAGGCGGCUCACUGGACUGGUAUUGACGCUGAGGUGCGAAAGCGUGGGGAGCAAACAGGGUUAGAUACCCUGGUAGUCCACGCCGUAAACGAUGAUAACUAGCUGUCGGGGCUCUUAGAGCUUCGGUGGCGCAGCUAACGCAUUAAGUUAUCCGCCUGGGGAGUACGGCCGCAAGGUUAAAACUCAAAUGAAUUGACGGGGGCCUGCACAAGCGGUGGAGCAUGUGGUUUAAUUCGAAGCAACGCGCAGAACCUUACCAGCGUUUGACAUGUCCGGACGAUUUCGGGAGACCG